rnacentral:rRNA from 1 species
AAUGAACGCUGGCAACAGGCCUAACACAUGCAAGUGAAACUAAUUAACUUAGAGGUUAAUAAGUCGCAAACGGGUGAGUAACACGUGAGAAUCUACCUACUAGCCCGGCAUAACAAUUGUUUUGUUCUCUUUUUAGGUUAACAAAACAAAUAAUUCCGGAUACUCGAAAAAGGUAAAAUCCGCUAGUAUUGCAUAGGCACGUCCGUGCCUAUGCAGAGAGAUGAGCUCGCGCAAGAUUAGGUAGUUGGUAAGGUAAAAGCUGUACCAAGCCAAAGAUCUUUAGCCGAUUUGAGAGGAUGAUCGGCCACACUGGGACUGAGACACGGCCCAGACACUUUUAAGUGGCAGCAGUGAGGAAUUUUGGACAAUGAACGAAGGUUUGAUCCAGCCAUGUUGCAUGAGGGAAGAAGGCUCUUUUGGUUGUAAACCUUUAAUUUAGGAGAGGAUAAUGACGUACUCUUAAAAAAUAGUCCCGGCUAAUUCUGUGCCAGCCGCCGCAGUAAAAC